AAGUCGUAACAAGGUUUCCGUAGGUGAACCUGCGGAAGGAUCAUUAUCGUACAAUGGAGGUGCUGGGGUUGUCGCUGACUUUUCAAAGGGUCGUGCACACCUCGGCGCUCUCGUACAAAAUCCAAUUCACCCCUUUGUGCAUCACCGCGUGGGGGCCCCUUUUGGUUAGUUCUGAGGGGGGCGUUCACGUUUUUAUACAAACACCCUUUUAAUGCAAUAUGUAGAAUGUCUUACUUUUUUGCGAUCACACGCAAUUAAUACAACUUUCAACAACGGAUCUCUUGGCUCUC
rnacentral:misc_RNA from 1 species